UGUGCUAAUACCGCAUAAUCUCUCAGGAGAAAAGCAGGGGAUCGCAAGACCUUGCGCUUUAGGAGCGGCCGAUGCCUGAUCAGCUUGUUGGUAAGGUAAAAGCUUACCAAGGCUUCGAUCAGUAGCUGGUCUGAGAGGACGACCAGCCACACUGGGACUGAGACACGGCCCAGACUCCUACGGGAGGCAGCAGUGGGGAAUUUUGGACAAUGGGGGAAACCCUGAUCCAGCCAUGCCGCGUGAGUGAAGAAGGCCUUCGGGUUGUAAAGCUCUUUCAGCCGGAACGAAACGG
rnacentral:rRNA from 1 species